AGUGCUUUAUUUUAUAAAAAAAUAUAGUUUUGAAGAGACUGAGAAGACAGCACUU
rnacentral:tRNA from 2 species